rnacentral:rRNA from 1 species
GUCUACAGCCAUGCCACCCUGAACAUGCUCGAUUUUGUCUGAUCUUGAAAGUUAAGCAGGGUCGGGCCUAGUUAGUACUUGGAUGGGAGACCACCUAGGAAGACCAGGUGCUGUAGGCG